AACGAACGCUGGCGGCAUGCCUAACACAUGCAAGUCGAACGAGACCUUCGUGUCUAGUGGCGCACGGGUGCGUAACGCGUUGGAACCUGCCCUUAGGUUCGGAAUAACUCCCCGUAAGGGGUGCUAAUACCGGUUAAUGUCUUCUGACCAAAGAUUUAUCGACUUUGGUUGGGCGCGCGUUGUAUUAGCUUUUUUGUAGGGUAAAAGCCUAGUACGGCGAGAAUUCAUAGCUGGUCUGAGAGGAUGAUCAGACACACUGGGACUGUGACACGGAGCAGAAUACGAGGGAAGGGAGGAGAGGGGAAUAUAGGAAAAGGGGGGAAAGGAAGAAAGAGCAAGGGCGGGAGAGAGAUGAAGGCGUGAGGGAAGUAAAGCAGUUUUACACGGGAAGAUAAUGACAGUACCGGGAGAAUAAGCACCGGCUAACUCCGUG
rnacentral:rRNA from 1 species